UACGUAGGGGGCUAGCGUUGUCCGGAAUCAUUGGGCGUAAAGCGCGCGUAGGCGGCCCGGUAAGUCCGCUGUGAAAGUCAAAGGCUCAACCUUUGAAUGUCAGCGGAUACUGCCGGGCUAGAGUCCGGAAGAGGCGAGUGGAAUUCCUGGUGUAGCGGUGGAAUGCGCAGAUAUCGGGAAGAACACCUGUGGCGAAGGCGGGUCUCUGGGCCGAUACUGACGCUGAGGAGCGAAAGCGUGGGGAGCGAACAGG
rnacentral:rRNA from 1 species